UACAGAGGGUCUCAAGCGUUGUUCGGAUCAUUGGGCGUAAAGGGUGCGUAGGUGGCGUCGUAAGUCAGGUGUGAAAUCUCGGGGCUCAACCCCGAAACAUGCACUUGAUACUGCGAUGCUUGAGUACUGGAGAGGAGAUUGGAAUUUACGGUGUAGCAGUGAAAUGCGUAGAUAUCGAUAAGGAAGACCAGGUGGCGAAGGCGAAUCUGCUGGA
rnacentral:rRNA from 1 species